GGCGCCAUCGUCUAGUCUGGCCUAGGACGCUGGAUUUUCAUUCCAGUAACCGGGGUUCAAAUCCCCGUGGCGCUGCCA
rnacentral:tRNA from 1 species